GGAUUCUCGGUGUAGCAGUGAAAUGCGUGGAUAUCGAGAGGAAGACCAAUGGCGAAGGCAGCCUGCUGGACAUUUACUGACGCUGAGGUACGAAGGCCAGGGUAGCGAAAGGGAUUAGAUACCCCUGUAGUCCUGGCAGUAAACGGUGCGCGCUUGGUGUGGGAGGACUCGACCCCUUCUGUGCCGGAGCUAACGCGUUAAGCGCGCCGCCUGGGGAGUACGGUCGCAAGACUAAAACUCAAAGAAAUUGACGGGGACCCGCACAAGCGGUGGAGUAUGUGGCUUAAUUCGAUGCAACGCGAAGAACCUUACCUAGGCUUGACAUGUAUUGCUAAGCACGUGAAAGCGUGUGACUCUUCGGAGACCUUACACAGGUGCUGCAUGGCCGUCGUCAGCUCGUGUCGUGAGAUGUUUGGUUAAGUCCAGCAACGAGCGCAACCCCUGUGGAUAGUUGCCAGCAAGUAAUGUUGGGGACUCUAUCCAGACUGCCCAGGUCAACUGGGAGGAAGGUGGGGAUGACGUCAGGUCAGUAUGGCCCUUACGCCUAGGGCUGCACACGUACUACAAUGCCCAGUACAAUGAGAACCGAGACCGCGAGGUGGAGGAAAUCUGCAAAACUGGGCCCAGUUCGGAUUGGAGGCUGCAACUCGCCUCCAUGAAGUUGGAAUCGCUAGUAAUGGCACAUCAGCUACGGUGCCGUGAAUACGUUCCCGGGUCUUGUACACACCGCCCGUCACAUCAUGGAAGCCGGUCGCACCCGAA
rnacentral:rRNA from 1 species